AACCCCCGCGGGGAGCCGGCGUCAGGCACGUUGGCCCAAGAAGGGCGGUGCCGACGCGGCCUCGUGAUCUGUGGGCGACAAGAGCUUCAAACGAGUCUUGCCGUAUGUCCCACCACGGGCCGGGUUUUCCAAGGGUAACCUUAGAAAGGAGGUGAUCCAACCGCAGGUUCCCCUACGGUUA
rnacentral:misc_RNA from 1 species